rnacentral:rRNA from 1 species
UACGGGGGGAGCAAACGUUGUUCGGAAUCACUGGGCGUAAAGGGAGCGUAGGCGGCCAUGUAAGUGAGGUGUUAAAUCCCCCGGCUCAACCGGGGACCUGCACCUCAUACUGCACGGCUUGAGUACAUCAGAGGAGACUGGAAUUCCCGGUGUAGCGGUGAAAUGCGUAGAUAUCAAGAGGAACACCUGCGGCGAAGGCGGGUUGCUGGGCCGACACUGACGCUGAGGCGCGAAAGCCAGGGGAGCAAACGGG